rnacentral:rRNA from 1 species
AGAGUUUGAUCAUGGCUCAGAACGAACGCUGGCGGCGUGGAUAAGACAUGCAAGUCGGACGAGAGUUUUCGUUGUAGCAAUACGAUGGAAAGUCUAGUGGCGAACGGGUGCUUAACACGUAGGCAACCUGCCAAGAAGUGGGGGACAGCUCGCCGAAAGGCGGAUUAAUACCGCAUGUGAUUAGAGAGGACAUCCUUUCGAAAUUAAAGUCGGGGCAACCUGACGCUUCUUGUGGGGCCCGCGGCCUAUCAGCUAGUUGGUGAGGUAACGGCUCACCAAGGCUUUGACGGGUAGCUGGUCUGAGAGGACGACCAGCCACACUGGGACUGAGACACGGCCCAGACACCUACGGGUGGCAGCAGUCGAGAAUUUUUGACAAUGGGGGAAACCCUGAUCGAGCGACGCCGCGUGGAGGAUGAAGGUCUUCGGAUUGUAAACUCCUGUCAUUGGGGAACAAUGCACAGAUAUUAACUGUAUUUGUGUUGAUAGUACCCGAAGAGGAAGAGACGGCUAACUCUGUGCCAGCAGCCGCGGUAAUACAGAGGUCUCAAGCGUUGUUCGGAUUCAUUGGGCGUAAAGGGUGCGUAGGCGGCGCGGUAAGUCGGGUGUGAAAUCUCGGAGCUUAACUCCGAAACUGCAUUCGAUACUGCCGUGCUUGAGGACUGGAGAGGAGACUGGAAUUUACGGUGUAGCGGUGAAAUGCGUAGAUAUCGUAAGGAAGACCAGUGGCGAAGGCGGGUCUCUGGACAGUUCCUGACGCUGAGGCACGAAAGUCAGGGGAGCAAACGGGAUUAGAUACCCCGGUAGUCCUGACAGUAAACGGUGCACGUUUGGUGUGGGAGGAUUCGACCCCUUCUGCGCCGGAGCUAACGCGUUAAACGUGCCGCCUGGGGAGUACGGUCGCAAGAUUAAAACUCAAAGAAAUUGACGGGGGCCCGCACAAGCGGUGGGAGUAUGUGGCUCAAUUCG